GUACAUGGCCAAGGAUUGCAAACUGGCAUAUCUCCGGGACUGGCUACUUAAUGAUCAGAUAGCUUUUGGUCUCCCAGCAAACUCACCACUGAAGUCAGAGUUGGAACGAGGGAUGCAAAUGCUGAUAGAUAGUGGGUUGAUACAGAAAUGGAUGCAAGAACACGGGUUAGUAUCUAAGAAAGGUGGAUGUCGCUCUGACAAGCUGGUAAAGCCAGCGACACUUGAAUACUUUGAAGGGAGCGUGGCAGCAGCAGCAGCGGGUGCGGGUCUGGCACUACUAACCCUGGCUGGAGAAUGUCUCUAUCAUCAUCACAUCAGGUCACGGAAUGGAAAGGAUACUUAGGAAGUGGUGCCGAGUAUGCUGACCAAAGUACAGGAAAACAUAACAUUUGAGAAUGUAUACUACCCAUCAAAAGUUUAGACUCACUUAAAGCACUCACUAUAUGUUAUGUAUAUAUAUGUGGUUACAUCGAA